AUUGAACGCUGGCGGCAGGCCUAACACAUGCAAGUCGAGCGAGCGGCGGACGGGUGAGUAAUGUAUGGGGACUGCCCGAUAGAGGGGGAUCACUAUUGGAAACGGUAGCUAAUACCGCAUACUAUCGGAUAACCCAUAUGGGAUUAGCUCGUAGGUGAGGUAAUGGCUCACCUAGGCGAAGCUCCCUAGACGGUCUGAGAGGAUUAUCAGCCACACUGGGACUGAGACACGGGCCAGACUCCUACGGAGGCAGCAGGGGGGAAUAUUGCACUAUGGGCGAAAGCCUGAUGCAGCCAUGCCGCGUGUAUGAAUAAGGCCCUAGGGUUGUAAAGUACUUUCAGUCGGGAGGCGUUACCGACAGAAGAAGCACCGGCUAACUCCGUGCCAGCAGCCGCGGUAAUUC
rnacentral:rRNA from 1 species